GUAGCCUAGCCUGUUAGCUUAGCUAGCUGAGUGGACGUCUCCAACGCGGCUUCAUUUGUUCGACGCAAGUCAGUAAAUGUUUGUAAACCUGUCGCCAUGGUAACAGUGGGCACAUAACCUUUGAAACGGGCCGCAACUCAACCGUGCGCGUGCACCGUAGGAGCGCUCCGGAGCACUGUCAUUCACAUCAUCAUCAUCAUCAUCAUCAUCAUCAUCAUCAUCGUCGAAGGGGUCGGAUGCUGACAGCUGUGGCGGAGAGUCAGUGAGCAUGUGUCAGCAGGAAGCUCAGGCUGUCGUGGGCUGACCUGGUGAACAGUCUGGCCUUGGUGGUUCCCAGUAAAGUGGCUUUGUCUCCCUCCACCAGCAGCAUGGACCCCUCCCUCAGACCCUGAGAACACAAACAAGACAACUGUUAACCCUCGAAUGAAGGUCACAAACAAAAACACUGCGGGACCUGACGUGGAAAACACACACAACCAUGAACCAUUUCCACCUGACCAGUCCGUCCUCGUCUCUGUUCUGGUUCCACAGUGGAGCAGUCCAACCAAACCACGUCAAAGCAACCUUUACUUUAUCAUUACGUCGUGACUUCGUUUUCAAAAUGUUGUCACUUUUUAUAAAAAAAAUUUUUAGCAAAAAAUUACAACGAAUUUAAUCUUCAAAUAUUUGAUUUGGAGGAGGAGUUUCAGCAUCAGAGGUAGACAACAGGUAAAGGAGAGC